UGGGAUAUGGAUAGUAAAACGGUAGC
rnacentral:piRNA from 1 species